GAGCUCAGGGGGCCCAUGAGCUCAGGGGGCCCCUGGGCCUGAGCCUCCGCGCGUGACGUCGCUGUUAUUAACAUUGUAUUGAUAUGAUGAUAUGACACGAUGCGCCGUAGCCGGUAUAUGCUAGGCUUAAGUCAUUCAUGUCAGUAACAGGGCCCCAAUAGUCCUACUGAGGGAUGGAUUACUGAACGAGCCUACCGGCACCAGGGGCCCGUGAGCUCAGGGGGCCCCUAAGCCAGAGCCUCUGCGUGAAGUAGCUGUUAUUAACUUUGUAUUGAUAUGAUGAUAUGACACGAUGCGCCAUAGCCGGUAUAUGCUAGGCUUAAGUCAUUCAUGUCAUGGGCUGUGUCUACUACCGCGCACUUGAGCACUUCGAGCACUGACUUUCAGUGCUCGAAGUGCUCGAAGUGCGCCACACUGACAAAACCAGCAAAAUGCAGUGCACUGAAAGUACCCGGAUGGUGCACUGCAAACGGGCCAAAAAUGUCGUGUAAAACGAUGGACACUACUCGCACUAAGCGGCCGCCAUCUUGGCGACGUACCGGAAGAGGAGGAGCCCUUUCGCCAGCUUUUCAUUUCAUUUCUAAAACAAUGGCGGACAGCACAAGCGGUAGACCACGAAGCUACAGACCGUAAAUAGACGUUUCCUGGAGGUGCUGGCUGGUCCUCUGCUGCCCUCCCGACAUCUGCAUCUGGCUCCAAUGACCUCUGGCACAAACCUCACAUCCACCUCCAGGGCCUUUAAGAAGAUGGACCGCCAUCGCGUCUUCAGUAUCCCGAAGGACCUCUCCACAACACACCUCGCCUUUGACAGGCAGCAGUUGUAGCUUGGAGGUGGACAGGCUGCCUGAAGCGGGUCAUGAGGCAGAUGGUUGGGACAGGCAGGGGGAGCCACCAUCCCCAAGGAUACAGUAUCCUGGUGGAGGGGAUGACUGCUCAUAGAAGAUGGGGCUGUUAUUCAGGACCCUGGCAUCAUGCACUGAGCCCGGGGCCUGUCGAAGGCCCUGGCCACCACCCGAUAGGAGGUGGCGCUGGCAAGCCAAAAAAUAAAAACUAGACAGGAGAUCUCGGGGCCCCAACCGUGGUCAGUCAGUGCCCAGCACAGCCAUGAGGGCGUUGAAUGACUCGGGUGAGCCUGAAGUCCACCCUCAUGUCACUGUGGCCAUCACAAUACAACGCCAGCAGUGGCAUUGCAACAUUGAUACGGCAGCGCCGCUGGGACUGGGUGGCUGCUGUAGAGUGUGUGGAGGGGAGGGGAAGGGAAGAUUAUAUUAAUAUGCAAGUCAUUUUAUCAAUAAAAUGUUGUCAUUGA